rnacentral:rRNA from 1 species
AACGAACGCUGGCGGCGCGUCUUAAACAUGCAAGUCGAACGGCAGGAAGGGGCUUGCCCCUUCUGAGAGUGGCGGACUGGUGAGUAACACGUGGGUGACAUACCUUUUAGUUGGGGAUAGCUAUUAGAAAUAGUAGGUAAUACCGAAUGUGACCGUACCUGUUAGAGGGGUACGAGGAAAGGAGCUAAGGCUUCGCUAAAAGAAUGGCUCGCGGCCCAUUAUGCUCGUUGGUGAGGUAACGGCCCACCAAGGCGAUGAUGGGUAUCCGGCCUGAGAGGGUGAACGGACACAUUGGGACUGAGAUACGGCCCAGACUUCUACGGGAGGCAGCAGUUAAGAAUAUUCCGCAAUGGACGAAAGUCUGACGGAGCGACGCCGCGUGGAUGAAGAAGGCCGAAAGGUUGUAAAAUCCUUUUAAGCCUGAUGAAUAAGCACAGUAGGGAAUGAUUGUGCGGUGACCGUAGGGCUUGAAUAAGCACCGGCUAAGUACGUG